CGCUGCAUUCCAGCCUGGAUGAUAGACCGAGACCUUGUCUGUGAAAAAAAAAAAAAAGUGUGAGCGAUACUGUUUAUUAUGAAGCUUAAUUUGCAUUGAAGUUAAAUGUUAAUGGGAUUCUUCUCUCUUCUUUUUCUAACUCAGAAAUUUCAUUCUAAAGCCAUGAAAUGGGCAGGGCAAGGUAGGAGUCUGCAGCAGGGAGGAGGGCGGGGUUUGUGAUGGCUCAGAGCAACAUGUCAGACCCGAGAGGGUAAGUACCGAUAGGGCACAGCCUGUCAAGGGCUGUCAGAGCCUUGGCAGGGUGAUGAGGAUAUUCACAUGUGGGGACAGGCUGGUGUGGGGUUUUGGAGGACAAGCUGGGUGAAGCAGGUGUCUAGAGGUAGAGUGGAUUGGAAUAUGGACCCCCAAAAUAUUUGUCCAAGUGCUAACUCCUGGUACCAAACUCUGUAUUAAUUUCUCAGAGCUGCUGUAAGUAAUUAUGUUAAACUUGCUGACUUCAUUCAACAGAAAUUUAUUCUUUCACAGUUCUGGAGGCAGAAGGCCAAAAUCAAAGUAUGGGCAGGCUUGAUUUCUUUAGAAGACUCCAAGGGAGAACUGUGUCUGCUUGCUUCUGUUUCUUAGACUUUGGAUGGUGGAGACCUGUGCCUGCUACUUCUCUCAUCUCCUGAUACAUAAUGCAUAGUGUUCAGGCACCAAGGAAGAGAACCAAUGGCAGAAGUCACACGUGCAAGCAAGAUGGGAGUCUGGAGAGCCUCAGGCUAAAUCACAAGUGCUCAGCCCUCUUCUCUUUGUAAGGGCAACUGGGUCGUAUCUGCCAGCUUAGAGCUGCUCUGUCCACAGCCCUAAAAUUUAACACCUAGAAAAAUCAAUGCACUUAGCAAACUCUCUCAGCUGGUGAUGAAACCUGUCACUAGUGAAGGGACUCGUCCCAAGGGAGCUGAACACCUGCCCCUGUACCCUGACAAUGGAUAAGAAACAAGCACCACUGUGGAUGCAGCCCCAGAAGCCUAGUGUCAAGGGGGGCGCGAGGCCCUGCUUCAGACUGGGGGCCUGGGGAGGGGCUGGUACCUCUCCACUUCCUGCAGCUCCUGUUCCUCCGGCUCCUGGUGAAAAUUCAGGUCUGACACCCACCAGGUCUCGAACCCACAGCAAACCACAAGGCUUCACAUUCUGAGAUACAGCUAGAAGAAGCUGGUAUAAUAUACGGUCAUGCACUACCUAACUACGUUUCCUCAACAUGGGACUGCAUAUAUGACAAUGGUCUGUCCCAUGAGAUUAUAAUACAGCUGAAAAAUUUCUAUCACCUAGUGAUAUCAUAGCCACAGUAAUGUCAAGGCCCAAGGUAUUACAUGUCUGUGGUAAUGCCGGUGUAAACAAACUUGCCACACCGCCAGUCAUAUGAGUGGAGCACAAACAAUUAUAUAAUACAUAGUCCUUGAUCGUAAUACACAAUUAUAUUACUGGUUUAUGUAUUUACUAUAGUAUACUUUUAAUCAUUAUUUUAGAGUGUACUCCUUCUGCAUAUAUGUGUCAACUAUAAAACAACCUCAGGCAGGUCCUUCAGGAGGUAUUCCAGAGGAAGGCAAUGUAAUCACAGAUGACAGCUCUAUGUGUGUUAUUGGCCCUGAAGACCUUCUGCUGGGACAAGAUGUGGAGGUAGAAGACAGUGAUGUUGAUGAUCCUGACCCUGUGUAAGCCUAGGCAAAUGCGUAUGUGUGCUGUAGUCUUAAUUUUUGCCAAAAAGUUUAAAAAGUAAAAUAAAAAUAGGACAUUGCUUAUGGAAUAAGGAUAUAAGCUAUUUUUGUACAGCUGUACAUAUGUUUGUGUUUUCAGCUGUGUUAUUACAUAAAGGUCAAACUUUGAAAAUAAACAAGUUUAUAAAGUAAAAAGAUUGCAGUAAAGUACAGUAAGGCUAAUUUAUGGUUGAAGAAAAACAUCUUAAAAAUAAAUUUAGUAUAGCCUGAGUGUCCAGUGUUUCUGAAGUCUACAGUAGUGUAAUGUCUUAGGCCUUCCCAUUCACUUACCACUUACUCACUGACUCACCCAGAGCAAAUUCCUGCCUUGCAAACUCCAUGCAUGGCAAGUGCCCUAUACAGGUGUACCAUUUUAAUCUUUUAUAUCGUAUUUUUAUUGUACUUUAAACAUAUCUACGUUUAUAUGUUUAGAUACACAGGUGUUUACCAUUGUGCUACAAUUGCCUACAGUAUUCAGUACAGUAACACGCUGUACAGGUUUCUAGGAGUGAUAGCCGGUACCAUACGGACUAGGUGUGGUAGGUUGUACCAUCUAGGUUUAAGUAAGCAUACUCUGUCAUGUUCCCACAACAACAGAAUCGCUUAAUGAAGCAUUUCUCAGAACAUAUCCCCAUGGUUAAGCAACCAAUGACUGUAUUUUCUGUCUACCUUUCACCUCCAUAAUAUGUAUAUUUUUCUACAUUUCUCAUGGUAGAGGGAAAGAGCAACAGGACUUCCAGGAAAAAAACUAAUGGGUCUUCAGGCUUCUGCUUGUAUGUGGCUCAUGUUAUAUCUGAGCGUAUGCUAUUGGACCAAGUGAGUCACAUAGCCAAGGCUUACAAUGGGAUGGGGAAGCAUACUUCAUUUUCUUGAAGGCGCUCUAAGUCACAUGGCAUCGAUGGGGUCAUAUUGUUCUUUUAUAGUGAAGAGGGGAGUAAAUAAUAGAGGACAAUAAUACAGACUAGCAAAGAUACUAAGACCACUUAUAUCCAAAAAGCAAGAUCAGUUUGGUGGAAUGACUUACUAAUGCACUGAGAUGCCCAUAUGCCCAUAUUCCCUGCCAAACAGUCUAAAUGGAAAACUAGAAUCCUAAUUAAAGUGAGAAAAGGCAUGUCACAAAGCUUCCUUUAUUGUAGAGCAGUUGAGUUGUGGUGUUCGUUACUAGAUUUUUUUAAUUAGCAUGGUGUUAGUUCUAUAUAUGCCUUCUAUUUAUUAAGCACUUACUAUGUGCCAAGCAUAGUAGUAAACCUUUUUCUGACCUUAUUUAAACCUACCAACAGUCUCAAGGUGGAACUAUGUCUCUUCCCAUUUACAGAUGAGAAUAUUAAAGGACAGAAUAACUAAGCAACUUGCCCAAAGUCACAGGUCCCUGCUCUUAUCUGCUAUAUUUUCUUUCUCUCUUUUUCUUUUUCAUGUAAUACAGAAAGUCCAUGAUCAUCACGAUGCACCUCUACGUGGAUGUCACAGGAAUGGCAACUUACGACCUUAUGAAGUAGUUUAUCCUAAUUUAGGGUAGCUCAAAUACUACAACAAAUAUUUAAUGGGCCUUUAAUCCGCUACCCCUAAAAUUUUUUCCAGUUGGUUCUAGUUUUAUCUUAUAGAGCUAAAUGUAUAGAAAAUAAUCCAAAUAAUCUUCCUUCAAGUAGAAGAAAUCAUCUUCUAGAUUUUAUCUUUCCCAAUCUAAAAAUACAUUGUUGUUUCAACAAUUCCAUGAAUAACAUGGAUUGUGGAUUUUUAUCAUUGUGGUUACUUUUCUCUUGGACUGCCAGACAUUUUAGUGUGGAACAAGAGCUGUCUGCAAUAAAACAUAAUGAAUGUUUAUGCUAAAUGUUUAAGCGUGGACAACUUCUAUUCAACUGAUAUAUCUCAGAACACAAAAGAGUACUUGCUGUUUCAGGAAAUUUGGUUCCUUUCUCCUUCUCUGAUCUCAAUCGUUAUAUUGAUAAAUUUGACAUAUUCUGCUGAACAACAAAUUCUGGCAUCUUCACUGAGGAAUCAGUGUCUGUCUCUAAUACUUCUUUCUGUGAAAUCCUGACCUGAAGUCUCCUCUAUCAUCCCAAAUAUUUAAAAAAGAUUAAAGGUGAGGCACGGGUUUCUCUGGCCUGCUUUGGUAAAUUUAUGUGCUCACAUAACUCAUUAAUUGUUUAGGUUUAAUUCAAGACAAAUACUUGCACGUUUAUAUUUGACACUAGUAUUUGCCAAAUCCCAAAACUGAUCUGAACCCUAAACAAACCAUCUUCUUGGCAUCUCCUGCAAAUAACACACAUAGCAAAUAUAUUGACAUCAGUUGUACUUUAAAAUGUCAACUCUGCUUUUCCUUUUCUCAUGAUGCUACUAAAA